GCCAGUGCUAUCAGUCUAAUUGUUCUUGAUUCUGUUCUCCUGUGCCAUUUGGUUUGUGAAUUAAUACGUUAUUUCUUCAUUAAACCAUCAUCAUUAUUCAACUAUCUGGAUCCACCACAUCCAACUUACCACCUCCAUUACUGCAUAUUAUGACAGAUUGUCAUAGAAACUCUUACCGAUUGCGUAGCAGAGAGCAAAGUUUAUGGUCCACCAUGUUUGUGGUGAGCUGUACAGCUAUUGAAGCCAGACCAUGGCACUACCACCACUACAUCUGGUGUAUUGCAAAUCCAAGUAAAAAAAACAACAAAAAAACAUGCUUCACACUGGAGAUGAACUCGGAUCUCGUUGUCUUAAUCCACCAUCAUCCCUCUAAAUCUGUGAAAGCUGAAUUGCCUUCUGGUACAAUGGAAAGAAUGCACUUGUUGGUUGGUGUCAAAGUUGUGGCAAGCUUCAUUAUGAAUGUAUU